rnacentral:rRNA from 1 species
AACGAAUGCUGGCGGCACGCCUAACACAUGCAAGUCGAACGCGAACGCACCUUCGGGUGUUAUUAGAGUGGCGGACGGGUGAGUAACACGUGGGAAUAUGCCUAUCAGUAGAGAACAACCAUUGGAAACGAUGGCUAAUACUCUAUACGCCCUUCGGGGGAAAGAAUUUCGCUGAUAGAUUAGCCCGCGGUAGAUUAGCUAGUUGGUAAGGUAAAAGCUUACCAAGGCGACGAUCUAUAUCUGGUUUGAGAGGAUGAUCAGACACACUGGGACUGAGACACGGCCCAGACUCCUACGGGAGGCAGCAGUGGGGAAUAUUGGACAAUGGGGGCAACCCUGAUCCAGCGAUGCCGCGUGAGUGAUGAAGGCCUUAGGGUUGUAAAACUCUUUCAGCGGGGAUGAUAAUGACAGUACCCGCAGAAGAAGCUCCGGCUAACUCCG